GAUUGACAUUAUCAAUAAUUUUGACAAAAUUAUUUUGGGUAUAUGAGGAAUAGAUACAACUUAAAUUAUAUGUUAAAUUAUCAUUAGGAAAAUUACAAAACGAGAAGAAAUGUCUUCUCGGAUAGAACCUGAUAAGUACACCCUAUAUUGCCAUUACCCGGACAAUUAUUCCGAAGAAUUAGGCCUCAUACGAAAAGAUGUUAAUCGUGUAAAAGAGUGGCAGCCUCAAGCGACGCUUUGGAUGUUGCUUUAUGCUUUAUUGCUCUGGCUUGUUACGUACGUAAUGGUGUUAACGCUGUCUAUGUGCUUUGAUUUCGGAUUUCGUUCCAUGACGAGUUUCAACAGUCUCUUUCGUUGGCAUAAUGAUUCUUCAUACGAACAUUAUAAUUCUAAAUACAUGAUAUCCUAUUAAAUUGUCUAUGUUUUUA